rnacentral:rRNA from 1 species
AGCAGUGGGGAAUAUUGGACAAUGGGCGAAAGCCUGAUCCAGCCAUGCCGCGUGUGUGAAGAAGGUCUUCGGAUUGUAAAGCACUUUAAGUUGGGAGGAAGGGCAGUAACCUAAUACGUUAUUGUUUUGACGUUACCGACAGAAUAAGCACCGGCUAACUUCGUGCCAGCAGCCGCGGUAAU